rnacentral:rRNA from 1 species
UGGCGGACGGGUGAGUAAUGUCUGGGAAACUGCCUGAUGGAGGGGGAUAACUACUGGAAACGGUAGCUAAUACCGCAUAACGUCGCAAGACCAAAGAGGGGGACCUUCGGGCCUCUUGCCAUCCGGAUGUGCCCAGAUGGGAUUAGCUAGUAGGUGGGUAACGGCUCACCUAGGCGACGAUCCCUAGCUGGUCUGAGAGGAUGACCAGCCACACUGGAACUGAGACACGGUCCAG